rnacentral:misc_RNA from 1 species
UACGGAGGAUCCAAGCGUUAUCCGGAAUCAUUGGGUUUAAAGGGUCCGUAGGCGGGUCGAUAAGUCAGUGGUGAAAGUCUGCAGCUCAACUGUAGAACUGCCAUUGAUACUGUCGUCCUUGAGUUAUUGUGAAGUGGUUGGAAUAUGUAGUGUAGCGGUGAAAUGCAUAGAUAUUACAUAGAACACCGAUUGCGAAGGCAGAUCACUAACAAUAUACUGACGCUGAUGGACGAAAGCGUAGGUAGCGAACAGG